ACGAACGCUGGCGGCGUGCUUAACACAUGCAAGUCGAACGGAAAGGCCCUGCUUGCAGGGUACUCGAGUGGCGAACGGGUGAGUAACACGUGGGUGAUCUGCCCUGCACUUCGGGAUAAGCCUGGGAAACUGGGUCUAAUACCGGAUAGGAGCCAUUUUUAGUGUGAUGGUUGGAAAGUUUUUUCGGUGUAGGAUGAGCUCGCGGCCUAUCAGCUUGUUGGUGGGGUAAUGGCCUACCAAGGCGGCGACGGGUAGCCGGCCUGAGGGGGUGGACGGCCACAUUGGGACUGAGAUACGGCCCAGACUCCUACGGGAGGCAGCAGUGGGGAAUAUUGCACAAUGGGCGCAAGCCUGAUGCAGCGACGCCGCGUGGGGGGUGACGGCCUUCGGGUUGUAAACUCCUUUCGCUAGGGACGAAGCUUUUGUGACGGUACCUAGAUAAGAAGCACCGGCUAACUACGUG
rnacentral:rRNA from 1 species